AUGCAAACAAAUCCUCAUGCAGCUGGAACUUGCCCCACCAGAUUCUCUUUUGGUGAUUCAGAGCUGAAGGUGCCUCACUGCCCUGUGGAACAGGUGAAUAAAGCCUUUCCAGCAUCUCUCUCUAGCCUAUUAUCUCCUGUUAGACACAGCCCAGAAAAUGAAUAG
rnacentral:lncRNA from 1 species